AUGCUGCUCCAAAAUCUGCUAUGGACAAUUGUCAUCUCUAUUUUAUUUGGAAUAAGCACAGCUCAGAAGGUCACUCAAGAGCAAUCGACAAUGUCUGGACAGGAAGGGAAGACUGUGACUCUGAACUGCAAGUAUGAAACCAGUGAACCUAGUUAUGCUUUGUUCUGGUACAAACAGUAUCUCUCUGGAAAAAUGAUUCUUCUUAUUCGUCAGGAUUCUUAUAGCCAAGAGAACAUGUGGAAGGGCCGCUAUUCAGUGAACUUCCAGAAAGUCGAGAAGUACAUCAAUCUCACCAUCUCAUCCUCUCAGCUAGGGGACUCAGCAAUGUAUUUUUGUGCCUUCAGCAUACCCACAGCGAUGGGAGUGACAAGAAGGGCCAAUACAAAAACACUGGUGUUGUGCAGGUCUCUCCCACCUGCAGCACAAGCCCAAGACUGA